CUAUACNUGCAAGUCGAGCGGACCGACGGGAGCUUGCUCCCUUAGGUCAGCGGCGGACGGGUGAGUAACACGUGGGUAACCUGCCUGUAAGACUGGGAUAACUCCGGGAAACCGGGGCUAAUACCGGAUGCUUGAUUGAACCGCAUGGUUCAAUCAUAAAAGGUGGCUUUUAGCUACCACUUACAGAUGGACCCGCGGCGCAAUAGCUAGUUGGUGAGGUAACGGCUCACCAAGGCGACGAUGCGUAGCCGACCUGAGAGGGUGAUCGGCCACACUGGGACUGARACACGGCCCAGACUCCUACGGGAGGCAGCAGUAGGGAAUCUUCCGCAAUGGACGAAAGUCUGACGGARCAACGCCGCGUGAGUGAUGAAGGUUUUCGGAUCGUAAAACUCUGUUGUUAGGGAAGAACAAGUACCGUUCGAAUAGGGCGGUACCUUGACGGUACCUAACCAGAAAGCCACGGCUAACUACGUGCCAGCAGCCGCGGUAAUACGUAGGUGGCAAGCGUUGUCCGGAAUUAUUGGGCGUAAAGCGCGCGCAGGCGGUUUCUUAAGUCUGAUGUGAAAGCCCCCGGCUCAACCGGGGAGGGUCAUUGGAAACUGGGGAACUUGAGUGCAGAAGAGGAGAGUGGAAUUCCACGUGUAGCGGUGAAAUGCGUAGAGAUGUGGAGGAACACCAGUGGCGAAGGCGACUCUCUGGUCUGUAACUGACGCUGARGCGCGAAAGCGUGGGGAGCGAACAGGAUUAGAUACCCUGGUAGUCCACGCCGUAAACGAUGAGUGCUAAGUGUUAGAGGGUUUCCGCCCUUUAGUGCUGCAGCAAACGCAUUAAGCACUCCGCCUGGGGAGUACGGUCGCAAGACUGAAACUCAAAGGAAUUGACGGGGGCCCGCACAAGCGGUGGAGCAUGUGGUUUAAUUCGAAGCAACGCGAAGAACCUUACCAGGUCUUGACAUCCUCUGACAACCCUAGAGAUAGGGCUUCCCCUUCGGGGGCAGAGUGACAGGUGGUGCAUGGUUGUCGUCAGCUCGUGUCGUGAGAUGUUGGGUUAAGUCCCGCAACGAGCGCAACCCUUGAUCUUAGUUGCCAGCAUUCAGUUGGGCACUCUAAGGUGACUGCCGGUGACAAACCGGAGGAAGGUGGGGAUGACGUCAAAUCAUCAUGCCCCUUAUGACCUGGGCUACACACGUGCUACAAUGGGCAGAACAAAGGGCAGCGAAGCCGCGAGGCUAAGCCAAUCCCACAAAUCUGUUCUCAGUUCGGAUCGCAGUCUGCAACUCGACUGCGUGAAGCUGGAAUCGCUAGUAAUCGCGGAUCAGCAUGCCGCGGUGAAUACGUUCCCGGGCCUUGUACACACCGCCCGUCACACCACGAGAGUUUGUAACACCCGAAGUCGGUGAGGUAACCUUU
rnacentral:rRNA from 1 species